rnacentral:rRNA from 1 species
CCUACGGGAGGCAGCAGUAGGGAAUCUUCCACAAUGGGCGAAAGCCUGAUGGAGCAACGCCGCGUGGGUGAAGAAGUUCUUCGGAUCGUAAAACUCUGUUGUCAGAGAAGAAAGUCCGUGCGAGCAACCGUUCACGUUUCGACGGUUUAUAACCCGAAAGCACCGGCUAACUACGUGCCAGCAGCCGCGGGAAUACGUAGGUGGUAAGCGUUAUCCGGAUUUAUUGGGCGGAAAGGGAACGCAGGCGGGCUUUUAAGUCUGAUGUGAAAGCCUUCGGCUUAACCGGAGGAGUGCAUUGGAAACUGGGAGACUUGAGUGCGGAAGAGGUAAGUGGAACUCCAUGUGUAGCGGUGAAAUGCGUAGAUAUAAGGAGGAACACCAGUGGCGAAAGCGGCUCGCUGGACUGUAACUGACGCUGAGGUUCGAAAGCGUGGGUAGCAAACAGGAUUAGAUACCCGAGUAGUC